AUUGAACGCUGGCGGCAGGCCUAACACAUGCAAGUCGAGCGAGCGGCGGACGGGUGAGUAAUGUCUGGGAAACUGCCUGAUGGAGGGGGAUAACUACUGGAAACGGUAGCUAAUACCGCAUACAAUGCGAUGUGACCAGAGGGGAUGAGCUAGUGGGUGGGGUAACUGCUCACCUAGGCAAAGAACCCUAGCAUGUCUGCAAGGAUGACCAGCCACACUGGAACUGAGCCACGGUCCAGACUCCGACGGGAGGCAGCAGUGGGGAAUAUUGGACAAUGGGCGCAAGCCUGAUGGAGCCAUGCCGCGUGUAUGAAGAAGGCCUUCGGAUUGUAAAGUACUUUCAUCGGGGAGGCGUUACUCGCAGAAGAAGCCCCGGCUAACUCCGUGCCAGCAGCCGCGGUAAUAC
rnacentral:rRNA from 1 species